UAUUUUUACGUUCAUGGUACAGAGGAAGGGUCAAACUACCACCAGGGUCAUUGAAUACCCCUGAAAAUGCUUACAACGCCUACGGAAGCCUUGUCAAAUACGUGUUUAUAGGUGACGAGUUUUGACCCCGCGCCGUAUCAGCUGUUCUUAAGAGGUCAUAAAGGAGAUGAAUCGUGUUCCCGUGAGUGACUUUUAACGUUCAUGGUACAGAGGAAGGGUCAAGCUACCACCAGGGUCAUUAUCUACCUCUGGAAAUGUCCCCCACAACGCCUACGAAAGCCUUGUCAAAUAUGUGACUCAUUGACCUCAAGCAUCAACCGCCCCCAAAAUCAUGUUACCGUUGAUGAGGUUUCAGGCCCUGCUGCUGCUCUGCUUCUAAAAGGUGAAAAAAAAAGAGAUUAAUCGCUUUCCCGUGAGUGUUUUCUCACCUUCAUAGUACAGAGUUACGUCAUGUGACGGACGAGUGUGUGACGUGGCAGCAGCAGUGUUUAAAUGUGUUACGUGAUCCCAGAGAGUGUUACACGUUGUGACAUUAGUAGUAUUCUGUUACCUGGAUACAUGAUAGGGCUGUUACUGGCUGUGUUACGUCACUGUGUUAAGGUGACGGGCUGUGACGUGGGCUCUCAGGUGUUAUGCAGUGUUAACAGUGCCACCGACAGUUCCAAGUUCAGCAGGUGUUACGUGAUGCAAGACAGAUUAGUUACCCAGUGUUACAGUGUCUUGUUAACCACCUACCUGGUGUGACCCCCCUCCUGUGAUGUGGGCUCAGCCAGGGUGUUUAAUAUGCAGUGCCACAGACAGUGUUAUGUUACCAGGCAGUGUUCACAGUGGCAUAGAUUCGUGUGGUGCCAGAAUCAGUGUGAUGCCAGCCAUUCGUGCCGUGACGGCAAAUGUAUAGAAUAACACCCAUGUGACCCUAGGACCCUGUACAGAGGCUUCGGGAAUAUUCGCACCGCUGUGAUGUAGUACUCUUGUUAAUUAAAGUUAAUCUCACGUCAAGGCUGACCUGACCAGGGCUACAGCAGGUCACACAGGGCUGUCACCUACCAAAACAACCCUCGCUUAUCAUCACCACAAGCUCUUUAGUGGGUGUGCGUUUAGGGCGGGGUGUGGUGGUAAUUACAACAUUUCUAGCACAUCCAGCCUGGUUUUGACAAGCCAGCAGACGUGUUUAGGUUACAAGGGGGGUACUUUUCCACGCAGGCUCUUCCCUUUCUUCACCCCGGAGCUCGCAGUCUCUCUCUCUCUCAUGUACCUUUAAGGAAGAAAGGGCCAUGGAAAUUUUACAGUAAAGAGAGAAAUAAGAGGAAAUUACUACCCUUAACUUACACUACUGGUAACCUAAGCUGUGGGGGAAAAUGACUUCAUUACAUAAGAACAUAGAAAUACUUAUUCCUGCUUUGGUCAGUAUAUGAUGCUCUUUAUUAUGGGGAUGCUGCUAUUUUACAGAAACCGUGCGCUGAAUGGAUGACUUUUUAAUGCUGGAGGUCCACUCCCUGACGCCCCGCCCAGCACGUCACGACCUGCCCCAGCAUCAGUUGAGCGGUGGCACUGCCCGGCACUUCCUCAAGAAGGCUCUCCUGCCCCUGACUGGCUGGUGUGACAGUCUGCUGCUUCUUGGAGUGUCGAUGAUUUGAUUGAGGCAGUAUUCCUCGGCAAAGUGCAUGACAGCUUUUGCCUGGGUCCUCAUGUCUUCCGCUCCUCCAUACACACACUCCAAAUUCCAGUCUGUUAGCGGAAAGUUUAAGUCUCCAAGGCAGUGCCAGUGUUUGGAGUGCCACUGUGCCUGGCCGUCCAGCACUGCCCGGCACACGAUGGCAUCCAGCUGCCCAUCAUUGUCAGGGAGUGCAUUGACCAGAUAGAGGGAGUUGCCGGAGCCAGUGUUGACGUCGGACAUGAUGCCACACUUUGAGGAUGUAGCGAUGAUUCCUAACCCCGGGGAGCGCGCCGAGGCCAUGCGCCAGCUGAUCAACCGCCUGCCAACCGCCAACCGCCUGCUGCUCCAAUACAUGUUCAAGCAUAUGGGACACAUCAUUGCAAGGGUGCCUGAGGACGCCUUCCCAUGGACAGCAGCAGGCGACAUCCUCCUGAGGGGCUGCUGUGUGGCGUCCAUCCUCCUUUGUAUAAAGACAAAUACACUUACCUCAACACAACAA